AAGACCUUGCGCUUUUGGAGCGGCCGAUGCCUGAUUAGCUAGUUGGUGGGGUAAAAGCCUACCAAGGCAACGAUCAGUAGUUGGUCUGAGAGGACGGCCAGCCACACUGGGACUGAGACACGGCCCAGACUCCUACGGGAGGCAGCAGUGGGGAAUUUUGGACAAUGGGCGCAAGCCUGAUCCAGCAAUGCCGCGUGAGUGAAGAAGGCCUUCGGGUUGUAAAGCUCUUUCAGUCGAGAAGAAAAGAUUGUGACGAAUAAUCACAAUUCAUGACGGUAUCGACAGAAGAAGCACCGGCUAACUACGUGCCAGCAGCCGCGGUAAUACGUAGGGUGCAAGCGUUAAUCGGAAUUACUGGGCGUAAAGGGUGCGCAGGCGGCUUUGUAAGUCAGAUGUGAAKUCCCCGGGCUUAACCUGGGAAUU
rnacentral:rRNA from 1 species